UGCUAAAUUAGUUAUUGAAAAAUAUAUGAAAUUUUAAGUAAGAUAAAUGGCUUAAUUAAUAGAUAUUAAGGUUCUAAUUUGUAUUAUGAUUAAAUUGAAUUAAUUAGAUUUUGAUUAAGUUUUGGUUUUGGAUUAGGAUUAGAUUAGGAUUUUGGAUUUGAUUAAGAUUUUUUUAAUAUUUAAGAUUUGAAUAAGGAUUUUCUUAGGAUUUAAGAUUUAGGAUUUGAUUAAGAUUUGAUUAGGAUUUAGGAUUUUAUUUAAGAUUUGCUUAGGAUUUAGGAUUUAGAAUUUGCCUAGGAUUUAAGAUUUAUGAUUUAUAUAGGAUUUAGGAUUUAGGAUUUAGAGUUUGGUCUAGGAUUUGAUUGAAUUCUAUUAGAAUUUCAAUUAGAAUUAAAUAAGGGCUUCAU
rnacentral:lncRNA from 1 species